rnacentral:rRNA from 1 species
AUUGAACGCUGGCGGCAUGCUUUACACAUGCAAGUCGAACGGCAGCGGGGACUUCGGUCCGCCGGCGUGUGGCGAACGGGUGAGUAAUGCAUCGGAACGUGCCUAUCAGUGGGGGGAUAACGCUUCGAAAGGAGUGCUAAUACCGCAUAUUCUCCGAGGAGGAAAGCAGGGGACCUUCGGGCCUUGCGCUGAUAGAGCGGCCGAUGUCGGAUUAGCUAGUUGGUGAGGUAAAGGCUCACCAAGGCGACGAUCCGUAGCGGGACUGAGAGGAUGAUCCGCCACACUGGGACUGAGACACGGCCCAGACUCCUACGGGAGGCAGCAGUGGGGAAUUUUGGACAAUGGGCGAAAGCCUGAUCCAGCCAUGCCGCGUGAGUGAAGAAGGCCUUCGGGUUGUAAAGCUCUUUUGUCCGGGAGGAAAUCCUGGCCUCUAAUACAGGUCGGGGAUGACAGUACUGGAAGAAUAAGCACCGGCUAACUACGUGCCAGCCGCCGCGGUAACAC